rnacentral:rRNA from 1 species
ACCAUCGCGAACUCGUCCAAGUUGCUUCGGCGGCGCGGCACCCCUUAACGGGGGCGCCGCAGCCCUGCCUCUCCGGAGGUUCGGGGCGCCCGCCGGAGGUACGAAACUCUGUAUUAUAGUGGCAUCUCUGAGUAUAAAACAAAUAAGUUAAAACUUUCAACAACGGAUCUCUUGGUUCUGGCAUCGAUGAAGAACGCAGCGAAAUGCGAUAAGUAAUGUGAAUUGCAGAAUUCAGUGAAUCAUCGAAUCUUUGAACGCACAUUGCGCCCGGUAGUACUCUACCGGGCAUGCCUGUUCGAGCGUCAUUUCAACCCUCAAGCCCUGCUUGGUGUUGGGGCCCUACGGCUGCCGUAGGCCCUGAAAGGAAGUGGCGGGCUCGCUACAACUCCGAGCGUAGUAAUUCAUUAUCUCGCUAGGGAGGUUGCGGCGUGCUCCUGCCGUUAAAGACCCAUCUUUAACCAAGGUUGACCUCGGAUCAGGUAGGAAUACCCGCUGAACUUAAGCAUAUCA